UGUAAGAGGGGGAUAACACAGAGAAAUUUGUGCUAAUACCGCAUAUUGAGUAAAAUUCGCAUGUUUUUUACUUGAAAGAUUUAUCGGCUUACAGAUGGACUCGCGUCUGAUUAGAUAGUUGGUGAGGUAACGGCUCACCAAGUCGACGAUCAGUAGCCGAACUGAGAGGUUGAUCGGCCACAUUGGGACUGAGACACGGCCCAGACUCCUACGGGAGGCAGCAGUGGGGAAUAUUGCGCAAUGGGGGCAACCCUGACGCAGCAACGCCGCGUGAAGGAUGAAGGUCUUCGGAUUGUAAACUUUUGUCUUAUGGGACGAAAAAGGACGGUACCAUAGGAGGAAGCCACGGCUAACUACGUG
rnacentral:rRNA from 1 species